CGGUUAAGUUAGAAAGGGCGCACGGUGGAUGCCUUGGCACUAGGAGCCGAUGAAGGACGGGACGAACACCGAUAUGCUUCGGGGAGCUGUAAGCAAGCUUUGAUCCGGAGAUUUCCGAAUGGGGAAACCCACCACUCGUAAUGGAGUGGUAUCCAUAUCUGAAUUCAUAGGAUAUGAGAAGGCAGACCCGGGGAACUGAAACAUCUAAGUACCCGGAGGAAGAGAAAGCAAAUGCGAUUCCCUGAGUAGCGGCGAGCGAAACGGGAUUAGCCCAAACCAAGAGGCUUGCCUCUUGGGGUUGUAGGACACUCUGUACGGAGUUACAAAGGAACGAGGUAGAUGAAGAGGUCUGGAAAGGCCCGCCAUAGGAGGUAACAGCCCUGUAGUCAAAACUUCGUUCUCUCCUGAGUGGAUCCUGAGUACGGCGGAACACGUGAAAUUCCGUCGGAAUCCGG
rnacentral:rRNA from 1 species